rnacentral:lncRNA from 1 species
GGGUCUGAGGGAGGAGGGGCUGGGGGCCUGGAUUCCUGGGUCUGAGGGAGGAGGGGCUGGGGGCCUGGAUUCCUGGGUCUGAGGGAGGAGGGGCUGGGGAUCUGGACUCCUGGGAUGAGGGAGGAGGGGCUGGGGAUCUGGACUCCUAGGUCUGAGGGAGGAGGGGCUGGGGAUCUGGACUUCUGGGUCUGAGGGAGGAGGGGCUGGGGGCCUGGACUCCUGGGAUGAGGGAGGAGGGGCUGGGUCUGCGGGAGUAGAGAGAUGGGGACUCGUAGGUGCCCUAGUUGGAGGCUGGAAUCUGGUGCUCUUACAGCCUGUUCCAGGUGUGGCUUAAUCCGUCUCCACCACCAGAUCUUUCUCCGUGGGUUCCUCUGCUAAGACCGCUGGUGAGUGGGCAGUGGGCUUGGACUCCUGGGUCUGAGGGAGGAAGGAUUGGGUUCUGGACUCCUAGAUCCUGGGAGAAAGACCAGGAAGCUUGGGCUCCAAGGAAUAGGGCCCCAGACACUGAGAUAUCUGAGGAAGAAGCAUGGCCAGGCCCUGGCUCCCUUGUCUCGGGGAGCUGCUGUGCUGGGACUGCCGGGAAGAGGUUAAGACCUGUGCUACUGCCCUGCAAUGUGCCUGAAUCUGAAAGGAGGAAGUUACUUUCCUGUGGGCUAGGAGAGGUCAACUUGGGUUUAGUGGUGUGGCUGCAAUGAGACAGUUUACACCCUGAGGAAAGAACUGGGCACCUGGUUUCUAAGAGGACUGGCACUUGAUUCCUGGGGGCCGUUAGGACAAGGAGGUGAAAGCUGUAGAUUUUGCAAGGACAAAAGAAGCAAGUUGGUUUUCUGGAGUCUGGGGCAUCUGGGAUCCUUCAGGCUCAGGGCCCAGGGCCAGAGGUCUGACCCCUUAUGACAGGACUGUG